GCGGCCGCCCCGGGAGGAAGAGGAGAGGAGGAGGAGGAGGAGGAGGAGGACGAGGGGGAGGUGACAAACUCUCCGGCUCGGCGCGGCGGCCGGCAGCCCGCGGUCAGGCAUGCAGGCGCGGCGUCUAGCCAAGCGCUCCAGCCUGGGCAGCCGCCGGGGGAGCGCCGCGCUGCAGCCGGCCAGCCCCGCGCCCGCCCGGGAAGGCGCGCUGCCCGGGCUCCCGGCCCCGGAGAGCUGGAGGCCGCCGCUGCCGCCGCCGCGCAGCGCCGGGACCGGCCCCCCUCGGGCCGCCGGGGCCGCCGCCGCCUCGUCUCCGGUGCUGCUGCUUCUGGGGGAGGAAGACGAGGACGAAGAGGGCGGGAGCAGGCGGCGCAGGGGGCUCGGGAGGGUGCAGGCGAAGCCCCGAGGGGGCGCGGAGGAGGAGGAUGACGACGAGGAAGACGAGGACGAGGAGGUGGUCGUCGAGGUGGUGGACGGCGACGACGACGACGAGGACGGCGAGGAGCGCUUCGUGGCCCUCGGCCCCGGCCGCCCGCUCCCCAAGGGCCCGGCCCGGGGCACAUUGAAGGUGGGGAGCAUUAAACGGGAAAUGACCUUCACAUUUCAACCAGAGGACUUAAAACGUGACUCUAGUAAAAAAAUGUCUCAUCAACACUUGUUCCCCUUGGCCAUGGAGGAAGAUGUGAAAACAGCAGACACCAAAAAAGCCAACCGAGCCCUUGACCAUGAAAAAGAAAACACUCGCUCCAUCUGUCUCCUUGAACAAAAACGGAAAGUUGUUUCUUCCAAUAUUGAUGUUCCUCCAGCAAGGAAAUCUUCGGAGGAACUGGACAUGGACAAGGUGACAGCAGCAAUGGUACUAACCAGCUUGUCGACAAGCCCUUUGGUUCGGAGCCCUCCUGUGCGGCAGAAUGAGGGCCUGAGCGGAUCGUGGAAGGAGGGGGGCGGCGUGCCUUCCAGCAGCAGCAGCAGCGGCUACUGGAGCUGGAGCGCCCCCAGCGACCAGUCCAACCCGUCCACGCCGUCGCCGCCGCUGUCCGCCGACAGCUUCAAGCCCUUCCGCAGCCCCGCGCCCCCGGACGACGGCAUCGACGAGGCGGAGGCCAGCAACCUUCUCUUUGACGAGCCCAUUCCCAGGAAGCGCAAGAACUCCAUGAAGGUGAUGUUCAAAUGCCUCUGGAAAAACUGUGGGAAGGUUCUGAGCACGGCAGCUGGUAUCCAGAAGCACAUCCGGACCAUUCAUCUUGGGCGUGUUGGGGAGUCUGACUACAGUGACGGAGAGGAAGACUUUUACUACACUGAGAUCAAGCUCAACACAGACUCUGUGGCAGACGGACUGAGCAGCCUGGCCCCAGUUUCACCCUCCCAGUCGCUGGCUUCUCCUCCCACUUUCCCCAUCCCAGAUUCCAGCCGAACAGAAACUCCUUGUGGCAAAACCGAGACAAAAUUGAUGACACCCUUGAGCCGAUCCGCUCCCACCACCCUCUACCUCGUGCACACCGACCACGCUUACCAGGCCACGCCCCCUGUGACCAUCCCAGGAUCGGCCAAGUUCACCCCCAAUGGCAGCAGCUUCAGCAUUUCUUGGCAGUCUCCUCCAGUUACCUUCACCGGCAUUCCAGUGUCACCAACCCACAGUCACCCGGUGGGCACAGGAGAGCAGAGACAGCACACUCACACCGUCUUGUCCUCCCCACCCAGAGGGACGGUCAGCCUAAGGAAGCCCCGGGGAGAGGGCAAGAAGUGCCGGAAGGUGUACGGCAUGGAGAACCGCGACAUGUGGUGCACAGCCUGCCGCUGGAAGAAGGCCUGCCAGCGGUUCGUUGACUGAUGCCCAGGCCCCUGAUCGGUGCCCCAGACACUCCUGCCCUCACCUUGCGCUGAGGGUGUUGGAAAGCGCUUUUCCUUCUGAACAAAACACACUUGAAACCCAGGGAAGGCACUUCCGAGAACCUUGGUGAAAUCACAGCAAAAAACAAAAAAACAAGAAAGGUCACCACCCUCACUGUUCUUGCUGAGAACCCAGCCGAGAGCAGCUGUAACUACUUUUUUCCUUAAAAAGAAAAGGCAACUUUUUUUCUUUUUUUUGCUGUAUGUCUGGCUCUGAAAACUGUGGACUUCUGUAGCAAUCAAACCAACCAAGCCCAUUUUUCCUCGAAAGGAGGCCUAUUUUGAUAACCUUUCUGGAUAAUGCCGUUUCUGAGAUUUUCUUUUUUUUCUUUUUUUGACACUUAAAAAAAAAAAGCUACAUGUUACUACUCAGUAGCAUUUGUACAAAGAACGAUACCUGUUUUCAUUGUGAGUAGUCUUUUCCCUGUUCUCCAUCGGACUUUUGGGAGCAGUACACAUCCUGAUCUGCUGCCGGGAUAUAGCAGCACUCUGGGUAUCUUUCCUAUGUCCUUUUUGUUUGUUUGUUUGUUUUGUUUUGUUUUAAAGAACGGCCCCAAACUGAACCACGGUAGAGCUCUUACCUUGAAGGGCCCAGGAGGGCAUAAGCUUGAAAAGAGAUUGACAAUGGACAUCACCAGCAGACUUCAGCCCCAGCUGAGUUCAGGACAUCCCGCUGUCACUGUUGGGAAACGUCCGGGAGUCUUCCUUGGAAGCCUUCCCAGAGGGGCGGCCCAGCCCACUCUCUCCCUGCCACAAUGCACUCAAGACCUAGCAUGCAUUGCCAUCUGGGUAAGCCUCGUAGCUUCCUUCAGGGAUGCGAUGCCAACCGUAGCUCGGAUCUCUUCAUCACUGCUUAUCUGACAGUUGUUGCCAGAUACAUGACUUCAUUUGACCUUCCCUAGAACCCGGUGUAGAAUGAGAGUGUUUAAAAUGACCAUCACCACCUUCAAAGUCAACCCAGUUCAAGUGGUCUUGAACCUGGGAGUCAGCCUCAUUACUGCCUGCAGGAAGGAGGGAAAGAGCGUGUGAAAGCGCUGGUCAGACCUCAGUCUUCCAGAAUGGCUCUAGACCUGAGAAGACCCAGGGACCCGUGUUCUUCACCCAUCCUUACAUUCCAGUUCUGGCUGAUCAUUCAGAGAGCAGGUCGAUCAACAGACAACCUGCCACACUCAUCGCAAAGGAUUCACGCAGACUCCCUGGUAAAGAAGGACAAGGCAGAAACCUAAUCCUUUCACUUUGACUCAAAGUCCCCCUAAGCCCCUUUCCCCACCGGUCCCUUCCAGAGCAAAGCCAGUGGAGUGAUCAGGGCGGAGGAAGAGAGCUUUACAUUCAUUGCUCUAGGCCCUGACCUCUGCCCAGAGCAGGAGAACAGAAUUGACCUUUAUUAUGUGGAAAGGAGGUGGUUCCUGCGGGGUAUAAUUGUUUUACGUGUAUAUGGAUGCAAAGAGCAGGCUCUUCCAAUCUGCUUGUGUUGUGAAGCACGUGUCUCUCACCCUGGCGGAGCCCCCUUCCCAUGCUUGGGCACAGAUGGCCAAGAGAGAGAGCAAAGAGGCAGAGUUUUGAGGGCCAGUGGCUCCGCAGUUGGGAUUACCCCUCAGGGAUCUACAGUGUAGCAUAAUCAUAAACUACCCCCACCCAGGGGAAUUAAAAAAAAAAAAAGAUACAUCACUUUGCAGAUUACAGACCCUUGCUUUGCUUUUUAUGCCUUUUCCCCUAUAAUCUGCUAAUUGGAAAGCAAUGACUGUGACUUGACCAAGCCCUGUGAUGAUAGCAAAGCUUCUUCUUCCAAAGUAUCCCGACUGUUUGGGGGAAACUCUGUGAUCACUGGUAGAAAGCUUUAGCAUAGAUUUAGAUUUUUAGGGAAGAACUCAAUACCCCCGAAAUAUGCUCAUUCCGUGACUUCAAUAACUGAAAAUGUCCUGGGUGUAAAAUAACCCAGGCAUGAGGAUCAUAUAUGUUUUUUUUUAAAAAAAUGCCAUUAAUCAGUAUUUUCCUACAACAAGACCUUAAAUUCCUAUUUUUAUAAUUAAUGGUUGGACGAUAGUCAGCCAUUGAAACAUAAGCUCUCUGGAAUAACCAGAUACUAGUGUAGUUUCCAAAGUGUUUCAUGUAUCAAAAUCUAUAUACUUAGAGGAAGAACUCAGGAUAAGAAAAAAUCGCUAGGUCCCAAAGGGUUUGUGACUAUCAUCAAGUACAACAGCCGAGUGGCCCGCGGUCAUCGUUUUCAAAUGAGGGGGCCAGGGAGUGAGAGAAGCACAGUCAUCACAAAACCUCUGUUGCCCUUCAUCCAUGAUAAGGUUUUAAAACAUUCUACUUUUCAGAAUUAAGCCAUCCUUCAAACUGUUUUCUACACCAAAUCUAACCUUUUAAAAUGAGAUUAUAAAAUACCUAAAAUGGGGUAUGUAGUGGAAAUGCUGUCAGUAGAAAGCAUUGCUUUUUAGUGCCUGCUGAAGAAAAAAGAGAAAGAGAGAUGAAGCAGCCCUUCCUGUAUGAUGCUGGCAUUAACACGAUCGGCAUUAACUUGGAAUUGGGCACUCAUUCAAAAGCAAUGAGGCAAUGCUCUACAAUUUUUAGAGAUCUUUCAAAAUACAAUCUUACCACCAUUUGGAGUUAAGUACUGGCUUACAAAAGUCUUUAAUAUUCGUGAAUGAAUGUAAAAAGUUACAAACUAUGCAUUUUCAAAGAGUAAUGUUAUCGUGUAUCCAAUCCAAGUCAAUUUUUUUCAUAGAGACUUAACCACAACUGCAAAUUAUUCAAAACAGACUUCAAUGCAUAUCAUUAUGGGGUUGUAGGACUUCCAUCUAUAUAGUUCUAGCUGAUAUUUUUAAAGAUAGUUCAUUUUAACUUCAGACCCUAAACAAUUCGGCCACGAAGGUGAAUAAAGGAGAAAUGAUGUAUAUUUUACUUCUUCAGCAGAAAGGGGAAAUGUGGGCUGUUACAAAAAUGGGCCCAGUUUUUUUAGAGGUGAAUGUUCUAGUAACAAUGGAUUAACAAGCAAGGAAAACUGCAUGAAGUUAAUGAGUAUUGCCUUGGAUAAAUAUAGCAUAGGUUGUGUCUGUCUAUUGUGUUUAAGUCGCAAUCUAAGGAAAAUAACACUAUUCUCCAGAGGGUUUGGAUCAUAUAGUUUCAAAGAACAAAAAGUAAAAAUAUUGUCCAGCAAAGCAAAAUCAUUGGCCUUUUUUCCUGAAAUUACCUGGAGAUCAUUACUUCUAUUUUUUGGAAAGUCCAUAUAAAAUAUACACAUAUUACUUCAGUCCUCUUGUGGAUUUUGUAUUUUCAUGAAACCUUUUUCCCUAAGAAUUUAUCUUUGCUCCUCAAUCAGUACUUUCCUACAUUACUCGGCAUGAAAGAAGAGUCUUUCCUUCAUCUGACAAUGUUGAAAUAAAGAACUCCAUUUCUCUGCCAUUCCGGAUCUGUUCUGCGUCCAUUGAGAAAGUUUCUCAGCUGUUUGUGUGUAAAAUAUGGAAAAACACACUUCUAAACCUGGUACUUGUGGUUAUACUGGAUAUGUUUGCUACCUAUUUAGAAGUAAUUGGGGGCGGGAAUGUGUGUUUUUAUAUAAUUUUUAGCCAAAUUCAGAUGUUCUGAUACUACAUUUCUGACUGUAAAUACAGCCUGAGGAGGUUCAGGUUAAUAAACCUUUUAUGUGACUGUUCCUCAGCCAUGCUCCUUGCCAGCUUUGGGCACCUUGUACAUAGAUUUGUCGAAUGUUUAAAUGAUGUUGUUUUUCUAAAUGCUGUUCUCUCAAACAACUUUUUGAAUGUUUUUUGCUUUCCAUUGUUUGGGACUUUGUGUGUUGGUUUAAAAAAAAAAAAAAAAAAACUUUCCUAAAUAUUUAACACCAGGAAAACUAUUUCAAAUAAACUGGUGCUAACUGAAAUAGAAGGAAAAUUUCAGAUGGAAGAUUUACAGUGUAAAAUGUUGACACCAGUUAAACUAAACUGCACUUUCGCAAGGGGACAGCUGGCAUCUACCUGCGAUGGGCAUCUCAAGGACCACCGCAUGUUUACAGUUUCUGUGGCCCAUUUAAGCAUAAAAUACAGAAAUGGUGCUGUCCCCCCGGAGUUGAGGAUUUGCUGCGUUGGUCCUAUGGAAGCAUUUAAGUAGAAGUAAAGGUCUAUAGUAAGAAUCACCUUAGUAAUAGUCUUCUGGUCUUUGGACUUUCAUGUUCUGUAAUGCUUAGCUGUAACAAUGAAUAUGGUGUUGCCAAUCUAGUCUGACGUCAUCGUUGCCCUGUAUUUCCUGCGUGUAUGGUUCUACUUUGGGUUGCACUGGCACGUACCGAGCCAGAACACUGGACUUUCAGGAAGACCAUUCUGACUUCUACGGUGGCCACACACAUGCAUUUAAAUGCACUUGUAAUUGGUUAAUUACCAUGAAGUCUAAC